rnacentral:lncRNA from 1 species
UAAAACCUCGAACAUUUUUGGGUACUAAGUAUUGAGAUGCUUUAGAGUUCAUUAUUCAUAAUUAUGACCAGUUAUAGAAGAUGGGCAUUAUACACAACACGGGGUUGAGUUUGUGACCUUUCUAUUAUAGAAGGAUUCUAAAUAAUGAGAGAGUGAGUAUGUUGAAUGUUAUUCAUCAGCUUUACCUUUAUUGAGUAAGUAAUAUCUUCAUGCUUUGUUCUUAGAGAAGUAUGUGCCAC